GCUCCACAUAUCUAAUACUCAUUUUGCAUCGCAGCCCUACAUAGAGGCGCACAUUUUUUCCAGGCCACCCACUGCAGUGAAAGCGUCAUACACAUGUCAUGCUAUGCGGGCAUGAUGAGAGCUCAUUGAUACCUAUCGGAUUUUCUUUUUUUGAGAGUUCGCCAGAUUGCACACUUGGAUAAUAUGACUCUCCUAAAAUCAUGGCAAACUGAUCGCUCGAGUGACUCGACAGCUGAAAGCAUUGUGUGACGGCCAAACAAAAAAUUUUAAUUCUGAUUUGAUGGAGGUGGAAGCGUGGUCGAAGAACUGAUUCGGCACACAGAGGCA
rnacentral:sRNA from 2 species